rnacentral:rRNA from 1 species
UUUUAAAUGAAUAUUGUUUUUUUUUAUUAGUUUUAUGUAUUUUUAGAUUAAUUUUUUAUUUAUAACUGUUAAGGAUUAAUUAAAAAUUAUUAAAUUAUUUUUUAGUACCUUUUGUAUCAGGGUUUUUUUAUUAUUUAAUAUAUUUUUGUUUCCCGAAUUUAAGAAAUUUAAUAAUUUAAUUAUUUAAUUGUUUUAUAAAUUUUUAAAAUAAAUUAUUAGUAAUUAGAAGUUAAUUGUUCUUUUUUAUAUCUGGUUUCUUGAGAAUUAAAUUUAAUUUAGAAUUAAUUUAUUUUAUUAAUUUAAUGAAUUAUUAGUUUUAUUUAAUUAGGGAUAAGCUUAAUUAUUUAUUAUAAUUUUAUUUAAUCUAUUUUUAAUAGUUUUAGAAUUUUUCUUAAAGUUUGUAAUAAAUUUAAAUAUUUUUUAAUUUAUUUAGUUUUAUUUAAUUUUUUAUUGAGAUAUUUUAAUUAAUUUUAUUUUAUUAUUUAUAAUGAAAGAAUUAGUAUAAUUUUUAUUUAUAUUUAAAUGAAUUCAACAAAACUUAUUUCCGACUGUUUAUCAAAAACAUUUCUUUAAGAUUAAAUUUAAAGUAUAUCCUGCCCUAUGAUUAUAUAUUAAAUGGCUGCAGUAUAUUGACUGUGCAAAGGUAGCAUAAUAAUUAGUUUUUUAAUUGGGGACUAGAAUGAAUGGAUUUACGAGAUAUAUAUUUUAUUAGUUUUAUAAUUAAAAUUUAAUUUUUUUGUAAAAAAGCUUAAUUAAUUAAUUGGGACGAAAAGACCCUAAAGAACUUUUAUAAUUUUAAUAUUUAUUUUGAAUUAUUUUAUUUUAUUUAUUUUUACUGGGGUGGUAAAUAAAUUUAUUAACUUUAUUUUUUAUGUUCAUUAAUUUAUGUUUUAAUGAUCCUAUUUGAUUACAAGAUUAAGUUACCUUAGGGAUAACAGCGUUAUUUAAAUGGUAAGUUCAUAUUUAUAUUUAAGUUUGCGACCUCGAUGUUGAAUUAAGGUUAGAUUAAGGGGUAGUUUUUUUAUGUCUAAGUCUGUUCGACUUUUAAAUCCUUACAUGAUUUGAGUUCAAACCGGUGUGAGCCAGGUUGGUUUCUAUCUUAUUAUAUUUAAAUUUUAUUAGUACGAAAGGACCAUAAAAUUUUAUUUUUAUAAUUAACUUUGAAUCAAAUUA